rnacentral:lncRNA from 8 species
AUGUGGCUUUUUCUUUGCAAACUUUUGAACGGUAGUGUAGCGAAUCUGAGUGACCUGGACUCAGAGGGUGGCUCUCCUCUCUCCCAGCAUGGUUCCUCUUCCAUGUCCCUGUCUGCUCUGGCCUCCUGCACCCCACAGGACCCCCCAACACACAAGCCCCCAAACCCAGCCCCUCACCACCCUCUACACCAUCCCCUCCCUCACCAGGCCCAACACUGCCCACCUGACUGGACCACCACGGAGCCCCAGCCAGGCCAUGUACCCCCACCCUACCCAGACCCAGACCCAUUCCUGGAGCCCAACCCAGACCCUACUACCCUAGCUUUCCCCUCAGACACCUGGCAGUCCUGCCCCAGCCCACAGUGCAGGAUAACUCCCCGGCCAGGGUUAGGGUCAGGUUUGACCUCAUCUCCUGUGGUGGUGGAGAGGCAGGACUGGACAUCACACCGCUGGUCCGUCCUUCCCCCCAUCUCUCCUGUCAGAGAUGGCAGUGACACAGUGUCCUCCUGGUCCCGCUGUUCUCAGGUCAGCUCUAGCCAGUCCCAUGUGUUUGAUGAACUGGAGGCCAUCGCCCCGCGGACCAGCUCCUGUCUGUCCCUAGACCACCCACUCAGCCCAGCAGACUGCAGCCCACCUGGUACAGGUACUGUACAGAGCACCCACAUUAUGUCCAGCAGAUUGUAUAAAAUACCACUGAUGUCAUACCUGUCAAGGGUCUACACAAUGAUUACAUCAGAAAUGUGCUCUAUAUUUAUGUCAAACAUACUGUACAUGUGCUCCUCUAACUGUAGACACUUGAAAAAGAAGAGCUUUGUUGUAUGGCCAUUGGCUUUUUACUUUGUAUCAAAGUUGGUGAAUUAACCGUUUAUUUUUUUAGAGCAGGUGAAUGCUUAACUAGCUACUUGUGGAAUGUACUUGAUGUUUAGAGUUGUUUCUACCUGGGCAGUCCAUGGUGUUAAAAUUAAUUAGCAUUGUUUUAGACAGUAUUGUCAAUGAAAAGGUCACGGCACCUGAUUGUCUUUUUCCUGUUUGUGGUUGUUGUUGUGGCCAUGUUUGUUUGACCACCAUUAAUGAGACGUGCUCUCCUUCCUCAGCCUCUCUCAUGUAAUGGACUGGGGUGUGACGGUGAUGUGUGUAUCUCAGCGCUCUGUUGUGGAACAGAGUGCCGCGUCUUUGUGUGUGUGUGUGUGUGUGUGUGUGUGUGUGUGUGUGUGUGUGUGUGUGUGUGUGUGUGUGUGUGUGUGUGUGUGUGUGUGUGUGUGUGUGUGUGUGUGUGUGUGUGUGUGUGUGUGUGUGUGUGUGUGUGUGUGUGUGUGUGUGUGUGUGUGUGUGUGUGUCUACUGAGGUUGGUCAGUUCAGUGAGCUGUGAAGUGGAUCAUUACCCAACGCAGACAGUGAUUUUCUCACUCACUGAGGACUUCCCCAAGCUUCUCUCAUCCCCUCUAAUCCCUGACAAGGUGUUUAAGAUGUUUAACCUGCUCGCUUGACCUGAACCUCCGUCUGACCUCCAUGACCUUUGCCCUGAGGAUGUGGUGGGAUCAUGUCAGUGGUGUAACAUCUUCCUCAAUUGACAGAUAUAGACAUCUAUUAUCAGUAUAGAGCCUGGAAAGCAAAUACAUGUAAAACUGUCUUAAACUGACUGACUGCUUAAACUUUGCUACUGACUCACAGGCAUCCAAGUGUGUCUGUCCACUCUCCAGUGACCCCAUCUGGGUGGCAGUAUAGCUAGUUAACGCUUUAAUCACAGGGUUAGACCUUUUAUCUGUAACAGUGUGUCUUUACAAUGGGUUGCAUUGUCAUGGCUAAUGAGGGGGUUAACUCCCAGCCUAACUGAAAGUGUGUCAUCCCAAUGUGUCUCACCCAUGCUGAUCCAUGGGAAUUCCUUCACCACAACUCCUUAAUCAAUCAGACAGCCAGCCAGUUCCCUUUUUUCUCACCUGAAGGGGUUUACCUGACAAACAGAAACACACCCAGAGACAAGCAACGCAUUGUAGAGGCAGGAACACUCCCUAGGCCAUGGGUAGGCAACCCUGAUCCUAGAGGUCCACAGGCAGGUUUUGGAUUUAACUGACCUGGAAGACCAGGUGUGUUGAAUGUAGGGAAUCGCUGAACUAAGGAAUCACCUCGGUUGGUCAGGUGUGGUACCUCGUUGGAACAACAUCCUGCAGUACCUGCAGUACUCCAGGUACAGGGUUGUCUUCCCCUGAUCUAGGCAGAAUUCAUUUAAAGUCGCUCAAAGUCACUAAAAGUUAGUCGCUCAAAGGACAUACUGUAAAAAAAACGCUGUACUGUACUUAACAAUUAGAAAACUAUCCAGAUGUGAUACUUUUUAUGCGCUAUAAAACACAAUGCAUUCCACUAUGGCUGUGAGAUGGUGGGACUGAGAUUGCAUUGAGAGGAGAAGCAGGUUUGACGUGCAGCAGAGCGUGAUAUGAGACAGCUCCAGCUCAGCGGCUGUGUGAAAUCCCCUCCCAGGAACAGCAGCUCCACACCCUGCUCUCUGCCUGGGCGGCGUGGGGAUUUGCAUGGGCAGGGAGCCCACACUGUUACUGAUCCCCUUUUAAUUGGCCGUGACAGAGAACUUUGGAGCCUAGGACUGGGGGGUGGAGCUGGAGGGUUGUCAGUCAUAUUUGCACACACCUCACUGAUCCAUACAGGACUGUUUCCUCCAUCUCUAUUCUGGUUCAGAGAGGCUAUCCCUGGCCUAUGCCUGGUUAUCCAGGGGUCCCUGUGAUCCAGGGUUCCCUGUGAUAACCCCCUGCACACAGGGAAUCAGAGGAGGUGGUCACUCUGGUCCUGACUAAUGUAUUGUUUGUUGAGUUCCGUGUAGCUCUGUUGGUAGAGCAUGGCUCUUGCAACACCAGGGAUGUGGGUUCGAUUCCCACAGGGGAUCAGUAUGAAAAUGUAUGUAUUCGUAUGUAAGUCGCUCUGGAUAAGAGUGUCUGCUAAAUGUCCAAACAUUUUUUUUAAAUGAGUUAGUAGAUGGACUGACUGAUGCAAUGGACUCCCUUAGUCCCUUUUUAAUGCUUUAGUUCUGAUGUGUUGGAUCUGCUGUUUCACAUAAUGCUUCAGUUGUCCUGUAUACUGUAUGCCACCUCUGCAGAGAUGUCCCCAGGCCUGGCUGCUCUGACAGUGGGCUGUGACUCAGGGGACCUGGGCUCCCUGUCCCGUGUGCAGCUCCUGCUCCUGGACCGGUCGGACCCUGUGGAGCCCCACUGGCUCGCUGGUCAGGACAAGUACUCCCCAACAGAAGACAGAACAACAGACCUCACGGCGGAGCUCCGAGCCAGAAGACCUCUUAGUCCAAGACUGUACACUACAGGUAUACCUGAUUUACAACUCAACACCCAGCCCAGUCUGUGAUUUAUUUGUGAGUCAGUGAAUGGGAUUGAACUGGCACAUGUCUUUAUAUACACACUGUGUUUGAGACAUUGUUUCAGUAAGAUUACUAGAUGUAAACUCACUCCUUUGAUAGUUUCUUUUGACAGUUACAAGGAGCCAAACUGUGACCUUU